UUUGUCUGGCCCAUUUUAUGUUUGUUUUUGCCUUUCUUUUAAUAGUGUGUUUCUAUUUCCAUCUUCACAGGUCCCCACUCCGAGCUGAGCGCUACCUCAGACAUACCUCUGGCCUUCAUGAACAGGAUGUCCUUUAACCAACCCCGUGAGUGCUGAACCACUGCGUAGGGGGAUGGCCCCAAAUUAGGUCAGUCACAGGUCCAGAGAGCGGAUCCGGGAGGAGUUCAUAUGGACUUACAGCUGUUCGGUGUUCCUCUUCUCCCUUCUUCCUUCUUCCAAGCCACCCCCUGCCCCGUCCUGCCCCUGACCACCCACUGCUUCCUCCCCCAGCUCUGAAAUCUGGACUCCUCCAGCUUCCUUUCUCUCCAGCCUCAGACCUCCCCGCUCCCCACCGCAGUCCCCGGCUGGUCAGGACCAGCUGCUCAGAAGAAAGCCGGUCUCUCAGCUGCCCCAGGCCAUUCCCACAGCAGCUCGGAUGGUGGGUCGGGAGGCCGUGCCGUUCCCCGCUGGAACUCUGUCAAGUGGAGCACCCAGCUGUAUGAAGGACAAUAAUCUCUCCCGA
rnacentral:lncRNA from 1 species